AUUGAACGCUGGCGGCAGGCCUAACACAUGCAAGUCGAACGAGUGGCGGACGGGUGAGUAAUGUCUGGGAAACUGCCUGAUGGAGGGGGAUACCUACUGGAAACGGUAGCUAAUACCGCAUACCAUCGGAGGUGCCCAGAUGGGAUUAGCGAGUAGGUGGGGUAAAGGCUCACUUAUGCGACGAUCCCUAGCUGGCCUGAGAGGAUGACCAUCCACACUGGAACUGAGCCACGGUCCAGACUCCUACGGUGUGCAGCAGUGGGGAAUAUUGCACAAUGGGCGCAAGCCUGAUGCAGCCAUGCCGCGUGUAUGAAGAAGGCCUUCGGGUUGUAAAGUACUUUCAGCGGGGAGGCGUUACCCGCAGAAGAAGCACCGGCUAACUCCGUGCCAGCCGCCGCGGUAAUAC
rnacentral:rRNA from 1 species